rnacentral:rRNA from 1 species
ACUGAUCCAAGAUUAGCCAUGCAUGUCUCAGUAUAAGCUUCUAUACGGCGAAACUAGCGAAUGGGCUCAUUAAAACAGUUAUAGUUUAUUUGGUGGUCAGCAAUUACAUGGAUAACCGUGGUAAUUCUAGAGCUAAUACAUGCGCCCAAACCCGACUUCGUGGAAGGGUUGUGUUUAUUAGAUACAGAACCAACCCAGGCUCCGCCUGGCCUUGAGGUGAUUCAUAAUAACCGAACGAAUCGCAUGGCUAUGCCGGCGAUAGACCAUUCAAGUUUCUGACCUAUCAGCUAUCGUCGGUAGGGUAUUGGCCUACCGUGGCAAUGACGGGUAACGGAGAAUUAGGGUUCGAUUCCGGAGAGGGAGCCUGAGAAACGGCUACCACAUCUAAGGAAGGCAGCAGGCGCGCAAAUUACCCAAUCCUGACGCAGGGAGGUAGUGACAAGAAAUAACAAUACAGGGCAUACAUGUCUUGUAAUUGGAAUGAGUAAACUUUAAAUCAC